UGGGGAAUAUUGGACAAUGGGCGAAAGCCUGAUCCAGCCAUGCCGCGUGAGUGACGAAGGCCUUAGGGUUGUAAAACUCUUUCGUCGGGGACGAUAAUGACGGUACCCGAAGAAGAAGCUCCGGCUAACUUCGUGCCAGCAGCCGCGGUAAUACGAAGGGAGCUAGCGUUGUUCGGAAUCACUGGGCGUAAAGCGCACGUAGGCGGAUAGUUAAGUCAGGGGUGAAAUCCUGGGGCUCAACCCCAGAACUGCCUUUGAUACUGGCUGUCUCGAGGUCGAGAGAGGUUGGUGGAAUUCCUAGUGUAGAGGUGAAAUUCGUAGAUAUUGGGAAGAACACCAGUGGCGAAGGCGGCUAACUGGUCCGGUACUGACGCUGAGGUGCGAAAGCGUGGGGAGCAAACAGGAUUAGAUACCCCAGUAGUCCCUGAGCGGGCUGGCAAGGCGCAU
rnacentral:rRNA from 1 species